GACGAACGCUGGCGGCGUGCUUAACACAUGCAAGUCGAGCGGAGCGGCGAACGGGUGAGUAACGCGUGAGUAACUGCCCCCCUCUCUGGGAUAACAGUUGGAGACGGCUGCUAAUCCCUGCUAGUGGGGGAUGGCGCGCGGCCUAUCAGCUUGUUGGUGGGGUAGUGGCCUACCAAGGCGGCGACGGGUAGCCGGCCUGAGAGGGCGACCGGCCACAUGGGGCUGAGACACGGCCCAAACGCCGACGGGAGGCAGCAGUGGGGAAUAUUGCACAAUGGGGGAAAUCCUGAUGCAGAGACGCCGCGUGCGGGAUGACGGCCUUCGGGUUGUAAACCGCUUUCAGCCAUGACGCGGUAGUGGCAGAAGAAGCACCGGCUAACUACGUGCCAGCAGCCGCGGUAAUAC
rnacentral:rRNA from 1 species